rnacentral:rRNA from 1 species
UACGUAGGGGGCAAGCGUUGUCCGGAAUCAUUGGGCGUAAAGCGCGUGUAGGCGGCUCGGUAAGUCUGCUGUGAAAGUCCAGGGCUCAACCCUGGGAUGCCGGCGGAUACUGUCGAGCUCGAGUCCGGAAGAGGCGAGUGGAAUUCCUGGUGUAGCGGUGAAAUGCGCAGAUAUCAGGAGGAACACCAAUGGCGAAGGCAGCUCGCUGGGACGUGACUGACGCUGAGACGCGAAAGCGUGGGGAGCAAACAGG